AACGAACGCUGGCGGCAGGCUUAACGCAUGCAAGUCGAACGCACUCUUCGGAGUGAGUGGCAGACGGGUGAGUAACGCGUGGGAAUCUACCUAGUUCUACGGAAUAACACAGGGAAACUUGUGCUAAUACCGUAUACGCCCUACGGGGAAGAUUUAUCGGAAUUAGAUGAGCCCGCGUGAGAUUAGCUAGUUGGUGGGGUAAUGGCCUACCAAGGCGACGAUCUCUAGCUGGUCUGAGAGGAUGAUCAGCCACACUGGGACUGAGACACGGCCCAGACUCCUACGGGAGGCAGCAGUGGGGAAUAUUGGACAAUGGGCGAAAGCCUGAUCCAGCCAUGCCGCGUGAGUGAUGAAGGCCUUAGGGUUGUAAAGCUCUUUCAGUGGGGAAGAUAAUGACGGUACCCACAGAAGAAGCCCGGCUAACUUCGUGCCAGCAGCCGCGGUAAUAGGUCACGUCG
rnacentral:rRNA from 1 species